GAUGAACGCUGGCGGCGUGCCUAAUACAUGCAAGUAGAACGCUGAAGGAGGAGCUUGCUCUUCUGGAUGAGUUGCGAACGGGUGAGUAACGCGUAGGUAACCUGCCUGGUAGCGGGGGAUAACUAUUGGAAACGAUAGCUAAUACCGCAUGACAACAGUUAUUGCAUGAUAACUGUUUAAAAGGGGCAACUGCUCCACUACCAGAUGGACCUGCGUUGUAUUAGCUAGUUGGUGAGGUAACGGCUCACCAAGGCGACGAUACAUAGCCGACCUGAGAGGGUGAUCGGCCACACUGGGACUGAGACACGGCCCAGACUCCUACGGGAGGCAGCAGUAGGGAAUCUUCGGCAAUGGACGGAAGUCUGACCGAGCAACGCCGCGUGAGUGAAGAAGGUUUUCGGAUCGUAAAGCCCUGUUGUAAGAGAAGAACGAGUGUGAGAGUGGAAAGUUCACACUGUGACGGUAUCUUACCAGAAAGAGACGGCUAACUACGUG
rnacentral:rRNA from 1 species